AUAAUUUAAUUAUUUAUUUACUAUAGCAAGUGAGCAGAUUAGCAAAACAUAGGGAGAACAACUCUAUAAUCUUAUUUAUGAAAUAACCGGUAAAAAUUUCCAGACCACAAAAUUCAGAUACAGGACCCUGAGUGGAUGAAUACCCUAAGGGCUGACCAUGGAUUAUAGUGAACAGUUAGCUCCUUGAAGUGCAGAUCCUACUGAGUUUAGCAACUGACCAUGGAUUGAGCAAAUUUAUUACCCUUUUUAAUCUGCUUUAGCUUACCAUUUGUAAUGAAGAUAGUUCAUUGGAAUUUAACACAACAUGGAAAAUAAACUGAGCGAGAGUUUUUUCUCUAAAGAAGACCUGAUGCCUUGAGCUCUGGAAUGGUACCGCAUAAAUGUAGACGCAAAUGUCAGGCAUAAACUGGUUAGUCUUUCAUCAAGGAAUACUUGAUAAAAUCAGGCCAUUUGCAAGUUGAAAACAUACAUGCAGAGCCGCACAAGUAGAAGCCCCGUCGCCGGAAUAAUCUACCAACUUCUGUUUCACCUGGAUCGGAUUGGAUUCUGUGUAGAUUGCAACAUACAUGCAGAGCCGCACAAGUAGACGCCCCAUCGCCGGAAUAAUCUACCAACUUCUGUUUCACCUGGAUCGGAUUGGAUUCUGUGUAGAUCGCAUUUUACUGAAUAAUCCCCACGAAAUCAAAUGGACCGUGGACCCUGGCUGACUCUUUGGAUGUCAACGUCGGUAGCUUGGAGCAACAUGUACACUUGUUCUUAAGUGCAGAUCGUACAUUAGAUACACCUGUUUCUUCAUAUUGAUUUUUCUAAACAGAG
rnacentral:lncRNA from 1 species